UUUUUUUUUUUGGGUUUCCUUGGUUAAAACUCUCGUUUCCUUCUAUAAAGUUCAGUUAUGCUCUUCAUGCAGCAUGCAUGCUGUGAAGAAUGGAAUCACAUUUUUUUACGUGUGUCGACAUGCAUGCUUCUCCAUGUGUUGCCGGCUAGGGUUUGAGGAGUGUAUGUGGCUUUGGGUUGGGGUGGGUGGGGCUGCGGAUGGUGUGUUGGGAUACUUUCUGUAAAAAUAAAAAACAAAUUCUGAUUUUAAUUACUUGCGCAUGCCUAAUCAAAAGUUCUGCUUUGUCUCGAGAAUACAUGCAUAGCACUUUAGGGGAAAAUGCUAAAACAUUCGAGAGAAAAUCGUAUUCCCAAAUCAGUUAACACAGAUAAAUAACAUGUACCUACGCAUACAGGAUAGGUUAAUAACAUAUACCUACUAUAUACCUAACCACAUAAGAUAGAAUAAUAUCAUAUUUAUACCUAAGCAUACAAGAAAAACAAACGCAUUUGGCGGAUUGAACUUGUAGCUAGGGAUGGCAUUUCAUUCGUACAAACCAAUUUGGGCAAGAUUUAAAUAUAGAUAUUGAGUAUGGGGACGGAUUAUCGGGAAACUGAAAAUUUUCCAAGCCGUUUGGGAUAUGGUUAUGCGAAUAGGGAUACUGUACCAGUAACCAUCACGUUUCUAUAUUUUCUAAAAUUUUAUAUGAAUGUAUAAUUUUAUAUAUUUUAGUCAUAACUUUUCUUUAACCAUUUUUUCUUUUUCUUUAAUUACGAGAAAAUAACAUUUUUUAUUGGUGAAAUCGAUAAACCCAUUAACCUCUACGGGAUCCAUAACCUUUGCGUGUGGUUAUGGAGAUUACCCUAUGGUUAACAUAUAGUUAUGGUUGUGAGUAAUUUUUGCAGUUACAAGGAUGGAAAUGACACAUCUGUCUCCAUUCCGAACGUUGUCAUUCCUAUAUUGGAGUAUAUUCUACCUAUUUACGUACAACCUACUUAUAUUAGAAGUGGUUAGCAAGGUGUUCAAAUAGUUGCCCUCUUACACAAUAAAUCAGUCUCUUGUCACAAGUGCAUAUGUGUGACAAUUGUUUUUGUAUGAAUUAAUAUAUAUUUUUAUUUUAAUUUAGAAACUGAUUUAUAUUGUUUAUUAAAAAAGAAAAUAAAGCAGCCCAUGAAACCAACUGCGUGGGUUUUUUUAAAUUUCUAUUUAACCUAUUCUGAUUCAAUUGUGAUUUUUGGAGUUCUAAGUUAGGGCCGGAAAUUUUUUUUUAUAUUUUGAAUGUUUCAUCAAAUUGUGUCUCUCUUUAUAUAUAUAGAAAUUUAAAGUCUAAAAUAAAGAAAAUAAAAAUAAUCAAUAUCCAAAAACAAUAAAAGUACAUGUAAUUGCAAUCUUCAGGUUGCAAUAAAAAAAAGUUCGGAAAUCAUGUUGGUAAUUUCAAUUCUAGGGUCGUUAACUUUUGGCUAAUUAUGAUUAGCUUACACAUUAUAAUUCACUAAAGUCAAUGACUUUUCAAUUUAAAAUUUAAAAGUCUACUUAUAAUUUUUGUCAAGUGAAGAUACAAGACGUAUUAGUUGUGAAGAAAUUAAUCCUCCCAAUUCUCACAAAACUAUAAUAGGGAUUGGAAAGAAUAAAAGAUGAGUUUUAGACUAUAAUCUUAUGUAAGAUUGAAAUCCAAAUUUUAUCUAUAUAGUUAAUCAUCUCAUUUAUUAAUUAUAUUUUGAUGUUUUAUUUCUUUUUUUCUUCCUAAUUUUACAUUUAAAUUUUAUUUCAUUCAUCACAAUAUAUUUUUUUGUAGGCAUUUAGGUAAACUAAUUUUCUUAUAUAAUAUAUUCUUAUACAAUCUGUAUCUUCUUCAUUUAGGUAUAUUAAUUCAUUUGAUAUAUUUUGGUCCAUCAUCAUCACGAAUAUACUUAGGUACAUUAGUUCAAGGUUUUUUAGCCAAAAUGGUCCCUGAGAUUUGCAUAACACAUAACUUUGGAUCCUGAAAUUUAAAAUCAAUAGAAGUGAUCUCUGAGAUUGUCCACCAUCCAUUAUUUUGGUCUUUCCAUUAAAAAACUCCGUUAAGUGGUCCCUGAGCUUUUUAAUGGAAUGACCAAAAUGAUGGAUGGUGGAUAAUCUCAGGGACCAAAGUUAUGUAUUAUGCAAAUCUCAGGGACCAAAAUUAUGUGUUAUGCAAAUCUCAGGGACCAAGUUAUGUGUUAUACCCUCAACUUAACAGAGUUUUUUAACGGAAUGACCAAAAUAAUGGAUGGUGGACAAUCUCAGGGACCACUUAUAUUGAUUUUAAAUCUCAGGAUCCAAAGUUAUGUGUUAUGCAAAUCUCAGGGACCAUUUUGACUAAAAAGCCUUAGUUCAAUAUAUUACAUUCUAGUACAUACAUUUUGAUACACACAUUUCGAUAUUUACAUUUAGGUACAUUAGUUCAAAUAACACAUUUCGGUAUUGACAUUUAAGUAUAUUUAUUUAAUAUAAUACAUUUCGGUACAUACAUUCAUGUUCAUUAUAAUAUAUUUAGAUACAAACAUUUAGGUACAAAAGUUUUGGUACAAAGAAAUCAAUUUAAUAUAUUUUUGUACACUUAUGUAUUUACAUAUUUCUGUGUCACUAAUUUCUUUUAAUAUCUUCUCAUUUACGUUCAUUUAUAAUUGAAAGAACUAAUAUGUGCAUAUUAAUUAAAUUGAAAUUUUAACGUGGAGACAUUAAAAAAUACACUUUAAAUAAAAAAUAGAAUAUAAAUUUUAAUAAAACUGCAUUUCAAAGGAUUAAAUUGAGUAUAUACUCUAACACCAAUUUAUUUAGUUUUUAUCUUUUUGAAGAACUAAUUAAUGUUCAAAAACCCCAUCCAAUAUCUAACUUCACCUGAACAAUGUGCAACUGGACAUCCAACUUUUCAGCAAAUCUAGUGAAUAUUUUUUCAAUGUCAAAUAAACAACAAAGGAAACCAAAAAACCUAAACUUAACUUGAAAAUUGUCAUCACAUUGAGGUGAUGAAUUAAGAAAGUAACUUCAUGAGCAUGCAUGGUUAUUUCUACCUUGAAAACUGUUAACAUUAAUUUUGGCAAAGAUGUUGCUAGCUUAAUUUGUAACAAAAAAAAGAGAUAAAUGUUGCUUGCUUUAUCUGAUGAGAACACUCAUGAAUAUGGUCAAACAUUUCUUACCCCUUAAAUUCUUGUAGUGCAUGCGCAUGCUAUAUAUAGUGGAAUGCGGUCCCGAUUGGAUUUACAGUAUAAAGAUGUCAUUUAUUUAUUUUGUCUGAAAAGAAGAAAAAAGUCUGCUAUAUCGAAUAAAGAUAGAAAAUAAACAAAUAAAUAAAUGCUUUCACGUGUACUACGUAGUCCCUCUAUCUAUAUAAACCCCAUGCAAUAUGCAGGCAAGAACCAACCUAGUUAUCUCGACCAUCAAAAACCCUUGUAAAUUAUGGCAAUGCAGUUAGGCUCUUUGCUCGUAUGUGUGGUACUACUCACUGGCUUUUCAUUGACAAAUAGCAAAGCUGAAACUACAUAUCCACCCGUCCAUUGUGACAUUCUCAACCGUAGCAGUUUUGAACCAGGGUUUAUAUUUGGUACAGCUUCAUCUGCUUACCAGGUCAGUAUGUUGGUGCUUUAACUCAUUAUAAUUUUUUGUUUAUUCGGAGUUUCAUAUAAUACUGAGGUUUAGAUUAAUUUCAAUGUCAGAAACAAUUAGUAUAUAUCAUAUUGACAUCUUCAUUUUGAAUGUAAUUUCAUAUAUGCAUGUACAUUUCAGGUAGAAGGUGCAUGGAAGGAAGGUGGUAGAGGACCAAGCAUAUGGGACACCUUCACCCACAACCAUCCAGGUUUCUGUAUUCUGUUCAUUUACUAGUGACAUGGUAUGAUUUCCACCAACUGUAUGCUUUAAGUAGUAAAACAUUUCUAUGUUUAAUUACAGAAAAAAUUAUGGAUGGCAGCAAUGGAGAUGUCGCUAUUGAUCAAUACCACCGUUAUAAGGUUGCAAAAUCACGGAAUUUUAUUCCCCACCAAAGUUUGGAUCCUUGGGAUCUUUAAUAAUUUAGCUUCUUUCAUAAAAUUAUGUAUAUUUUUGUGUCAUUACAGGAAGAUGUGAGGAUUAUGAAGGAUAUGGGAAUGGAUGCUUAUAGAUUUUCUAUUUCAUGGUCAAGAGUUUUACCAAGUAAAGUUGAUCAUCGACAUCCAUAUAUAUUCGAUUUGAGACCAGUCACUUUAUAGUUUAACUUGUUCUUAACUUAAUUUCUAUUAAUUUAUUUAGAUGCAUAUUUGAUUGUUUAGUUGUAAUUGCUAGAUGGAACGUUGUCUGGGGGUGUUAACACGAAGGGAAUUGAAUACUACAACAAUCUCAUCGAUGAACUCCUAGACAAUGGUGAUACAACUGUCUGAUCUCAUACAUUAUCCAAUUAAUUAAUAAAUAAUAAGUGUUUACAUGCACUCACAAAACAUCACCUAAUAAUCUAACUUUUCAUUUUCUUCUAUUGAUAAUUAUGCUAUAUAUAUAUAUAUAUAUAUAGGUCUAAAGCCAUUUGUGACAAUCUUUCACUGGGAUGUUCCCCAAACUUUAGAAGAUGAAUAUGGUGGUUUCUUAAGCUCUCGAAUUGUGUAAGUGAACAAAAUCUAUCCUACGUAUAAUGUUGAUAAUUUAUUUUAAACAAAUCAUACAAAUUAAUUAACAAAUGAUUACGCUUGUGAAAUGUGUAUGCAUAUAGCGAUCACUUUAAGGACUAUGCAGAAUUAUGUUUUAAGUAUUUUGGCGAUCGAGUAAAACAUUGGAUCACAGUGAACGAGCCAUAUACAUUUACUACAAAUGGUUAUGCAACUGGAAAACACGCACCAGGACGAUGCUCUGCAUGGCAAAACUUAAACUGCACUGAUGGAAAUUCGGCUACUGAGCCAUAUUUGGUGACACACCACCAACUCCUUGCUCAUGGAGCUGCUGUAAAACUGUACAAGGAUAAAUAUCAGGUCCAGUUGAUUAAAUUUCUUUUGUUAGUCCUAACUGAUAAUUUAUACGAGUCAGUACUAUUAAGUUACAAUAUAAUAGGAAAACAAUUUGUAUAGUAAGAUAUACAAAGUUUGUACCUUUUAUAGCUCUAAAUCAACAAAUGUUCUUGAUUUUCUUUUAUAGGAAUGCCAAAAUGGUGUCAUAGGAAUAACGUUGGUGUCACCUUGGUUUGAACCCUCUUCGAAGGCAAAGCAUGAUAUAGAUGCUGCAUUUCGAUCUUUGGAUUUUGUGUUUGGAUGGCAAGUGUAUUUAUUAAUAUAUUCAUAUUUUUUAUCAGCAUAUUUAUAUUUGUUUUGUUUUUAUGAUUAUAACAUUGAUUAGCUGCUAGUAGUACUCUAUAUAAUAUUUAGAAGUUCAUUCUUGGAAUUUCCAUAUUUUUUUUAGGUAUAUGGACCCAUUGACGAAUGGUGACUAUCCACACAGCAUGCGGAGUCUUGUUAAAGAACGAUUGCCAAAAUUUACAGACGAAGAAUCAAAGUUAAUAAAUGGGUCAUUUGAUUUUAUUGGAGUAAAUUACUAUACUGCUAGAUAUGCGAGCAAAUUACUUCAAAAUUCUUCUGAACCUGCAAGCUACUUAUCAGAUCCUUGUGUUAAUAUUACAGGUGAUUACAAAUUGAAAACCUUUUUGACCAAUUAAUUAAGGUCUCUUAAAAGAUUAAUUUAGAUUCUAAUGUUGAUCAUAUUUAUAUAAUGUGUUGUGGCAGCUGAGCGUAAUAAUAAGUCGAUUGGUCUGCAGGUACACAUCAACUUAUUAGCUUAAGCUAUUAAAAUUUAGAGGAUUUAUUAAUAAAUUGAUUUUCCACCCAAAAUAUUAUAACAGUUAUUUUUUUCUAUGAUGUUGCAGGCUGGUUCAGACUGGUUAUAUGUUUACCCAAAAGGAAUUCACGAUCUGGUGGUCUAUACAAUGAAAAAGUAUAAUGACCCAUUCAUUUACAUUACUGAGAAUGGUAACUAUUACUUUUAAACAAUUAAUUACAUUUAUCAAAUUGUCACAUAUAUAAUGGCAUAAAAUACAAUUACUUGUUUUAAAAUCUAAAUUAUUAUGGCUAACUACGUAAUAUGAGUCGAGCCAAUUUCUCGAAAGAUUUUUCAAUGUAACCGGCAUACGAUAUGAUACACCACGUGUCACUAUACAAAUAAUGAAAUAUGUGUGUUAAAAAGUUAAUAACUUAAUAAAUGCAUUAUAUUGUAGGGAUUGAUGAGGUCAAUGAUCCCAACUUACCACUUGAGGAAGCCCUUAAUGAUAUCGCUAGAAUCGACUACUACCGCGAGCACCUCUGUUACCUUCGAGCAGCUAUCAAGUAAGUGUAUAUAUGUCACUCUUACAUUUUGGUUAAUCAUUAUAUUGAUAUCAACGCAAUUUAUUAUUCCUUCUUAUCUCUCUCUCUUUUUUUCUUUUUUUUGGUUGGAUGCAGGAAAGGUGUUAAAGUUAAAGGAUACUUUGCAUGGUCAGUGCUAGACAACUUUGAAUGGAAUGAUGGAUACACAGUUCGAUUUGGUAUCAAAUUUGUAGAUUACGAUCAUGGACUAAGGAGGUACUCAAAGAAAUCGACAUAUUGGUUCAAACGUUUCCUCAACAAAGCUGGAAGAAAUCUGAAUAUUGUGGACAGCAACGUCGUUGACACUAAAUUUGUGUAUGAAGUUUAAAUUUCAAAUGAUGAAUAAAGUAGAACUCCUCUAUUGGUUGUUCUACAAGUUUCUAGCUUUUAUAGUUUAGCACUUUGAGUUAGAAUAAGUUGCAACAAUUCAUUUCAUUAUCAGUUUGUUGAAUGUGUUGCUGGUGUGUGUCGUAUUUGUAUUGCCAUAUGGCUAGUACCCCUUUGUGGUUGAAUUUUAUAUGAAUGUAAUGUACUCUUUAUGAAAAUAAAUUAUUGUUGAGUGUUCAAUUAAACAGCCACUGAUAAUCAAUGGCCUUUGGCCUAUGGUACUCACCCACAGUGGCCUUUGACAAAAAAUUGCCACAGAUAAUUAAUCAAUGCCCUUAGGCCACAUUAUCUCUACUAGUGGUUCCUAAGCAAAAUAUACUACGACAUCUAAUUGUUUUAGCUUGUAAUAAAUUAUCUGUCAAUCUAUAAACUUAAAUUCUUUAUAAUCGCGCUUAUUAAUAAAAGAUUUAAAAAAUUAAGUGAGUAUAGUUAAUUUGAAUGUCAGAGAAUUUAAAAAAAAAAUUAAGUGAAAGAUUUCAAAUGACGGUAGAAUCCUUACAACUUUCAUAAGAUUUUUCAAGAAUUCUUAUGGACUUUGAUUAAAGACUUGAAUAGAAUUGAAGAGACUUUCUUAUUAUUUAAAAAAUUAUUUUUCAAAUUAAAAAUAAGAUAAAAAAAUAAAACUUGAAAAAUUUUAUGAAGACCACUUUUACCCGACCAACUUCUACCGUGAGCACCUCUUUUAUCUUCAAGCAUCUAUUACGUAAGUGUGUAUAUAUAUGUCACUCUUUCAUUUUGGUUAAUCAUUACAUUGAUGUGUAAGACCCUUAAUCAUAAUCACCAAGACCAAAACAUGAACUACAACUUAGAGAGAAAUAUUCAAUUUAUGUAUCUGAGAAACACAGCAAGAAUAACAUACCUGCACUUGUAGCAGAACCCGAAGCCAUAGCAGCAAACUUUCAAUGUACCUUCUCUUCUCUCGCAGGUUAUCAAGAGCUCGACUUAUAAAUAGGAUUAAGUCCAGAAUAUGAGCCUUACUCUGUGAGAAGAGAGGCCACUAUAUAUAUACAUAUAAUCUUUACCAUAACUGAUUAGGAUUCCCUAUCAAAAUCCAUGUAGGAAACAAAUUCUUGUCUCCUUGUUCUGAUCUUCAUGCUGUACAGAAUCCCUCUUCAUAAGGGAUUAGCAUUCCUUUUAUUAACAAGACUUUUCUAUCCAAUUGAACACAUAUAGCCGGUCCUAAAACUCCUCUAUCUCAUACUCACAUUCUUACAUUCUCCCACUUGAGUAUGAGAACAGCUUUAAGUACUCAGCCAAGUCAAUUAUGUGCAGAUAGAAGUGAUCACUAAUCUUGUUAAUAAAAUUUCAAUCACAACCAACUAUCAUACAUCUCAAAAUGCAGAACGCUUGUAACUGUAUUACCACAAUAAAGCAAACAGGUUUUCAAGAGUUACAGACAUUCAAUUUGUAUGCUCAACGUUGUGAAUUUGAUCAAUAUCAGCAAUAAGCAAAAUAAUUUGCUCCCACUAUUUCAAAUCAUUGUCAGCAAGAUGUGAAACAAAUCUUUGCUUCAAAACAAUGCAUGAAUCAACAAUUCAUCACUAAAUGCUUUAAACGGAGAAACCAUUAUAAAAGCAACAAAUGAAUUAUAUCAAACUUUAUUUUGUUCGAAACAAUAGAUCAUCAUAACUGAUCUCAAUUCGAUAAAAUAAACAAAACAAACUAACAAACCUAAUACUAUCCAGCCAUAAGAUUUUAAAUUUGAAAUUUGAAACCUGUCUAUAUCACCACACCAGCUCUCUGAACUUCACAGCAGCGAAUAAACAGUCAUAAUAAGACUAACGAAUUACUCCCACUGAUCAAAGGAUUCAAGUAUUCCCAUCCGAGAGACAUGCGUUUUAAAUACUCCAAUCGGCAAUGCUUUAGUCAAAGGAUCCGCAAUCAUUGCAUUUGUGCUUAAGUGCUCCACCUGAAUUGCUCCUUCUCUAACCUUUUCUCGGACCUUGAGGAAUUUUACAUCCAUCAGUCUUGAAGCUGAAGUUCUCUUAUUGUUCUUGCUAAAAAAUACUGCAGAAUUGUUAUCACAAUACAUCAUGAUAGGCCUCUGCACAGAAUUUACAACUUUCAAAUCUGUCACAAAGUUUUUCAACCAUACAGCUUGUUUCAUUCCUUCAAAACAAGCUAUAAAUUCUGCCUCCAUUGUCGAUGUUGCGAUGAUAGUCUGUUUUGCACUUUUCCAGGAGACUGCACCACCACUUAGCAUAAAGAUAUAACCUCCAGUAGAUUUCCUAUCAUCUACAUCACCGGCUAAAUCAGAAUCAGUGUAUCCAACUAACUCCAAUAGCUCAUUCCUGCCAUAAACCAACAUAUAGUUCUUGGUUCUUUGCAAGUAUCUCAAAACUUUCUUUGCUGCUACCCAAUGUGUCUUUCCUGGAUUUGCUUGAAACCUGCCCAACAUUCCAACUAUAAAAGCAAUGUCCGGUCUUGUGCAAAUAGUGGUAUACAUCAAACUUCCCACUAAUGAAGCAUAAGGCUUAUUCUUCAUUUUAUCUAUCUCCAUAGGCGUCUUAGGACAUUGAGCCUUUGAGAAUCUGUCUCCCUUGUUUACUGGCAUUUCACCAUUACUGCAGCUUGACAUAUUGAACCUCAUGAGUACCCUUUCUAUGUAUCUCUUUUGUGAUAAACCGAGUAAAUUUCUUGAUCUAUCUCGAACAAUUUCAAUACCAAGUACAUAGUGUGCUUCACCAAGGUCCUUCAUUUCAAAAUUCUUACUGAGCAUGGUCUUAGUGUCUUUGAGCAGCUUCAUGUUAGAACUGGCAAGAAGGAUGUCAUCGACAUAUAACACUAAAAAUAUAAAACUAGUGCCUGAAAACUUAACAUAGAUGCAAUCAUCUAAUUUGUUUUCCACAAAACCUUGUCCUGUAACUACUUGAUCAAACUUUAAGAACCAUUGUCUUGAUGCCUGUUUAAGCCCGUAGAUUGACUUGUUAAGUUUACAAACCAUGUCUGCUUUCCCCUUUUCAACGAAUCCAGGAGGCUGCUUCAUGUAAAUGUCUUCGGCCAGUUCACCAUUAAGAAAGGCAGUUUUGACAUCCAUUUGAUGCAGUUCCAGAUUGUAAUGAGCCACAAGUGCCAUGAUAACCCUCAUAGAAUCCUUGGAAGAGACGGGAGAAAAGGUGUCAUUGUAAUCCACCCCUUCCCUCUGAGUGAAUCCUUUGGCAACUAACCUUGCCUUGUACCGUUCAAUAUUGCCGUGAGCAUCUCUUUUGGUUUUAUAAACCCAUUUACACCCAAUAGCCUUGAAUUGAGGAUUGGAAUCCACUAAUGUCCAUACUGAGUUUUUUGACAUCGACUCCAAUUCCUCCUUCAUUGCACUGUGCCACAAUGAUUGUUAAGAACUAUUCAUGGCCUGAGAAUAAGUGAGAGGGUCAUCUAUAUCACCAAAACCAAACUCAUGCUCCUGCAAAUAAACAUAGUCAUUUGACAUUGUGGUUUUUCUGAUUCUUGAAAUUGUCUCAAUGGUAAUGACGGAUCAUGGAGAACUUCAGUGCUCGGAUUCAUAGGUGCAUCAUCAGUUGGAGUUGGAUCCCCUUGUUGCUGUGGUUGGGACCCAAGAUCAAUUUCCAUUCUGUCAAUAUCUUCUGGACAGUCUAAUUGUUCUUCCUCCAAUUCAAUCAUGGAAGCAUGAGUGAUCAACAUUUCUUUGUAAGAAUUAGUGCAAAAGGACUUCUCAUUUUGAUCAAUCUCUUAAAAAAUGAACCUACCCUGUGAUAAGUCUGCAAUAUCUUGAUCUUCAAAGAACCUAGCAUUGUGAGUUUCAUGAAUCCUGGUGUGAGCUUGAGGACAAUAAAACUUGAAGCCUUUAGAUUUCUCUGAGUAGCCAAUGAAAUAGCAUGAUUCUGUCCUUGAGUCCAAUUUCUUCUCAUUUGGAUUGUAAAUUCUAGCCUCAGCUUUACAUCCCCAAACAUGGAAAUGACUAAAACUGGGCUUCCUGCUAUUCCAGAUUUCAAAAGGUGUUGAUGAAACCGCUUUGCUCGGAACUCUGUUCAGUAUAUAAGUUGCUGUCUUCAAUGCUUCACCCCAUAGGAAUCCUGGUAACUUUGAUCUUGUCAUCAUGCUUCUUACCAUUCCAAUCAGAGUUCGAUUCCUCCUUUCUGAAACUCCGUUUUGCUGUGGUGUUCCUGGUGUAGUGUAUUGAGCAACAAUGCCUUGUUGUUCAAGAUAGAGCGCAAACGGACCCUUGUGUUGUCCAGCCUCACUGUACCUGCCAAAGUACUCUCCUCCUCUAUCCGAUCUAACAAUCUUAAUGGUCUUGCCUAAUUGUUUUUCUACCUCAGUUUUAUAAACUUUGAAAUAAUCAAGGACAGAUGAUUUCUCACUGAUUAAAUAAGUGUAACAAAACCUUGAAAAAUCAUCAAUAAAGUUGACAAAAUAAGAAUUACCGCAAAUAGUUUUGGUUGGAAAAGGACCGCAGAUGUCAGUGUGUAUAAUCUCUAGCAAAUUCUGACUCCUUUUGGCAUCUAACUUUCUAGAAUUAGUCAUCUUCCCUUUUGCACAAUCAACACACUCAAUUGCAGUAGCAAGAUUUAAUUCAGGGAUCAACUGAGCUUUGGACAAUUUUAAAACUCUUUCUUUGGAUAUGUGGCCUAACCUCUUGUGCCAAAGGAGGAAAGAAUCAUCACUGCAGUUCAUCCUCUUAGUGCUUAUGUUUAAAACAUGUUGAUUUGGGGAUUCCAAAGUACAAUUCAGACACCACAGAUUGUCACUCAAAAAUGCAGUUCCCAAAACACAAUCUAGGUGGUUCUUUUCAAAAAAUUUUAAACUUUCAUCAUCACCUAGAAAGGCAAAACCGUCUUUGACAAUUCUUGAAGCAGAGAUCAGAUUUCUCCUCAUUUUAGGCACAUAAAGCACAUCCUUUAGUUUUAGUGUAAAACCAGAAGACAAUUUUAAACACACCAUGCCUAUAGCUUCUACCGCAACUUUAGUACCUUCUCCCACAAAGACAUUAUAAUUUUUAAAACCAGUUUGUUUUGAUUUCACAAAACCCUCCAAAGAAUUUGAAAUGUGAACUGAGCAACCGGUGUCAAACCACCAAGAAUUCACAGGGAUUUCAAUCAAAUUAGACUCAACACAGACAUUGACAUUUUCUACACCCUUACUUUUAAGAUAGUCCUGAAAAACUUGACAAUCUUUUCUUAAGUGUCCUUUAGUUUUGCAGAAAAAACAUCUGAGUUUGGCAAUAUUUUUCGUUUUGACCAUAAGAUUGUUAGAUCCUUUAAUAGAGUCCUUUACUUUGGUAGAUGCAUUAGACUUAAAAGAGGUUACCUUGGUAUUGUUGUUCUUACCAGAGUGUCCAGAGAAUGAUUUGAAUUAUUUCUUCCCCUUGUCUGGUUGCACAAAAUGCACCGUUUCAGUUUCUUUCCCUCUUUCUUGCUUCUGUCUAGCCUCUUCUUGAACGCACUGUGCUAUUAGCUCAUCAACAUCCCAGUUCUUGUCUUGAGUGUUGUAAGACACCUUUAACUGACUAUAUUUGUUUGGAAGAGCUUGAAGGAUCAUAAAAACUAACUGUUUUUCACCAAUAUUAACAUCUAAAGAAUUUAAUUUCUCAGCUGCAUCAGUCAUUUUCAAGAUAUGGUCUCUGAUUGACCCUAUGCCCUCAAUCUUGUAUGUGGUCAGCAUUGCCAUAUAGUGACUGAUUUCUGCCUUCUGAGAUUCUUUGAACUUUCUUUCAAUUGCUUGUAAAUAAUCAAUAGCUAGUUCAUGCUUCUUGAUUCCACCGCGAACAGUAUCAGUCAUGGCACUUUCAAGUAUAGAAAGUGCCACUUUGUUUGCUCUGACCCAUCUCUCUGCAUCAGCUUUCUCAGCCCUUGUACUUUGAUCAGUCAGAAUCGGCUUGGGAGUUUCAAGGGCUAUGUCAAAGUCAUUGAGUGUCAAUAAGAGCCCAAUCUCACGUCUCCAUUUCUUGUAGUUGCUUCCCCCUAUGAGAACAGGAAUGUUUGCCAAGUUCAUAGUCCGGAACGAUAUUGCAGAUGAUGAACCUGCAAUGAAAUCACAAUUUGAACUUAUUAGUUCCUGAUUUCAUCUCAACAUCACCUUGCACAUCAUGACUAUAAUCACAGACCCAUAUAUAUAGUCUUAAUCAACAAUCUGUUGAUAAGCAUACAUAGAGUGGAAUGAUUAAGCAAGAACUUGAAAAACGAUCCGCUGAUAUCUGCCAUAUAUCCUUAGACACCAAAUGGUUUAAUGGUGUCUCAUACAUGUAAAAGGCAUUUUGAAAGUGAUCAAAGAAAGCACCGAAUGGUUAAUAAGGUAUGUAUCUCUACUUUAAAAGAUCAAAAUACAUAUGCAUAUGACUUACGUUGGCAGUUGAUGAACUGGGAAAGUAAACACAUUCAUCUUUACAUUUCACCAAAGGAUUCAAAGCAAUUAACAACAUACCUUUUAAUCUUUAUAACUCAAAUUCACGAAUCGGGCAGCGGAAGCGAUUUAGAAUUUGAAAAUAGAAGAUUUUAGUUUUGGAAAGGAAAAAACCCAGAUCGAUGUUUAUAGAAGAAAGCAUUGCUUUCUUCAAUUCUGGAAAACCUUCCCUCGAUAAUAACUUAAGGGUUCCUUUGACGGUUCAUUAUCACCAACGCUUCUUUUAUUUCCUCCAGAACCAGACUUCGAUUCUUCAUAAGAGUAAAAAAAAAAAAAAAAAAAUUUUUUUAUUUUUUUUAUUAUUUUUUUUUAAUAGUAACAUACAAAAUUUCUUCUUUACAGAUUGAAUUCAUGUUGAUAAGUCUUGUGGCUCUGAUACCACAUGUAAGACCCUUAAUCAUAAUCACCAAGACCAAAACAUGAACUACAACUUAGAGAGAAAUAUUCAAUUUAUGUAUCUGAGAAACACAACAAGAAUAACAUACCUGCACUUGUAGCAGAACCCGAAGCCAUAGCAGCAAACUUUCAGUGUACCUUCUCUUCUCUCGCAGGUUAUCAAGAGCUCGACUUAUAAAUAGGAUUAAGUCCAGAAUAUGAGCCUUACUCUGUGAGAAGAGAGGCCACUAUAUAUAUACAUAUAAUCUUUACCAUAACUGAUUAGGAUUCCCUAUCAAAAUCCAUGUAGGAAACAAAUUCUUGUCUCCUUGUUCUGAUCUUCAUGCUGUACAGAAUCCCUCUUCAUAAGGGAUUAGCAUUCCUUUUAUUAACAAACUUUUCUAUCCAAUUGAACACAUAUAGCCGGUCCUAAAACUCCUCUAUCUCAUACUCACAUUCUUACAUGAUGAUCAAUGCAUUUUAUUAUUCAUCUUCUCUCUCAAUUAUUUUUGUUGGAUGCAGGAAUGGUGUUAAAGUUAAGGAAUACUUUGCAUGGUCAGUGCUAGACAACUUUGAAUGGAUUGAUGGAUAGACAGUUCAAUUUGGUAUCGUAUUUGUAGAUUAAAAUGAUGGCCUAAAGAGGUACCAAAAGAAAUGGACAGCCUGAUUCAAACGUUUCCUCAAGAAAGCUGAAAGAAAUAUGAUAUUGUGGACGGAAAUAUUGUUAACACUAAGUUUGUAUAUGAAGUUUAAAUUUCAAAUGACGAAUAAAGUAGAACUCCUUCUUAACUACAUUGCAAAAGAUGAAAGAUUAAAUGGUACAGAAGGAGAUGAUAGAGAAACAAGAGAGAGAUUGAAAAGGAAAAAUGAAAGCUCUUAAAUUGAUUGAUAUCUCUGACACAAUAUUUAUAUACAAACACACUUGACAAUUUUAGCCGUGCUUUGCCCCGAUCGGAAAACCUCUUUUUCCGAUUUCCCUCUUAUCCUUCCCUCCAUUAUCUUUCUCCCUCCAUGCGUCCAAUUGCUUCUUCUUCUUCCCCUCCCACUUGGCUUUGGCCUUUCUCGAUUCCACCUGUGAUCCGAUCUACCGUUACUUUGUUCCGCCUUUUUUCACUCCUUCAUCAGAAGGUGAGUAGAGCUCAGGCUCGGGUGUUCACACCACCACCUUUCCCUUGUGUGUCGAUCUCGACACUGUUGCCAGUGGUCCCAUUGGUUUCCUUCUUGCGUUUAUUCCCUUGGUGGUGGCAGAUUGGUUCAUUGUGGUUUGAUCGAGGACAAUGACAGCUUCUCAUUUUGUGUUUGGGGCUUGGUUUGGUUUCUUCUCUAGCGGUUGCAAGGAGGCUGGUUUGUGGUCGUCGAGAAGUGCUUCGGCGGCAGCAUGAGAACUUGGCGGCUAGGGUUUGUUCAAUGUUUUCUAUUGUCGGCUCAACCCAUGGGUUGGCCCUUUGUAGUUGUUGUUUUGGAGGCCCAUGUAACGGGUUCCUUCUAAUUUUUCAGAUCGUCAGGUGGCGAUGUGGACGUGAUUUCGGGUUCAAUGGGUUUGAUGGGUUCGAGUUCAAUGGGGCCAAGUUGAACUUGCAAACCAACGACAUCUGCACACAACCCGCAUCCAUGCCACCACUCUGCCCAGGUCAGUUCUUGAUCUAUUGAAGCCAUGAAACCCACCCACGGAACCACGAAUUCAAUAACCCUAGCUUCCCCCGGCAGUAUCGAAUGUCUUGGCGACGAUCGUGAAUCUGGCCGCAAGGCUAGCCAAGAAAGCGGAGGCGCGCGCAAUCUUCAUGUUGGCGGCAGAUGAGAGGUCCCUGCACAACGUUGACGACUCGUUGAUGCUGCUCACUACUUUGUCUCCUUCUUGAGGAAGAGGGGGUACAUACAAUGAGUAAUUUUUUUACUCACGUCCCCCACUCAUGGUCCCCAGUACACCUUGAUUGAGGAAGCAAAAGCAAAUCAAAAGAGAAAAAACAACGGAUUUGGAUUCUCUUUGUAAAUUCCGGCGGCGGAGGUGCUGCUAGAGCUGCUGCUUCUAAGAAUGGUAAUACAGGAGGUGAGGAAAUUUGGCAUUUUGUGAUUUGAGAUAUUGAGGAACUUAAAUCAUUUUCAAAUAAGAUAGAAAGAUUACGGUGUAGUAAUAUUAUUAUUUCCCAACAAGUGAGAGAUCUUAGGUUCAUUCCUUGUCAAAAGUAAAUUCAAAUCACAUUAAUGCUAGCCAUGUGAGGAUAAGCCAUCCCCCUCCCUUCUUAGUGUAGAUAAUAUUGUUCAUUAAAAAAAAAAAAUUUGAAGGUAGGAAAAGCUUCAAUCGAUAUGUCAAUUCUACGUUGAUUGAUAUAUUAAUCUUUUGAUGUCAAAUUUAACAUAUAAAAAAAGGUGUUAUCAAUUAUUUUAUGGUGUGGGUCUCAUUAAUGCACCAAUUAUAAAUCUUGAAAAUUUAUUUUAAUAGAUUUCUUUUUAAAAAUGGAUCCUAUAAAUAUCAUUAUAACAACAAAAAACAUAUGGGUUGGAAAAUGAGAAAAUUUGACAUCAUCAUGUCAGUCAUCAAAUUAACAUUUGACAUUUAUCCUUUGACAUCUUCAUCGUAGAUGCUCUUAUUUUUAGAAUUUUUUUUUUACUAAUUUCAGUUUACUACCUUAAAGUUUAUUGGUUUUCAGCAUUUCAUGCAUAAAGUUUUUUUCGUCUCAGUUUAGUACCUAAAGUUAUAAUUCUUGGACACUCUCAUACAUUUGUUAAGUUUUUCUUCAAAACCUCCGUUAACUGAUGACGUGGCGCCCACGUGGAUAAUCUCAUGCCAUGUGGACAUUAAAAAAAUUUAAAUUAAAAACUAGGAAAAAUCUCAGUUCAUUAUCUUGAAGUUUCUUGAUUUUCAACAGAACUUCAUCGAUCUUAGCAUCGGAACUCCUCCACAGUGCCUUCUUCUCGUCACCUAUACCAGCAUUGAUCUCGUCUGGCUCACUUACUUCGUCUACACUGAUUGCUCUAACUACGAACCAAGGAAGAGGGCCCAUCUCGUUUUCCUAGAAAGUAAGUUUCCGGUUCGAGAACAAAUUCUAGUACCAGGAACUCGAUGUUUUCAAUCCCUUUAUUUUUUAGUUUUUAAUUUUUUUACUUUUUUUACUUUUUAAAUUUUAAAAUUUUAAAAUCUUUAAAUUUUUUAAUAUUCACAUGGGCCCUAGAUUGACACACGGUGCCCAGUUAUUAUACACUUGGGUGUCACAUCACAAGUUAAUUGUUGUUUUACAGAAAGCUUAACAGAUGUAUGAAAUUGUCCAAGAAUUAUCACUUUAGGUACCAAACUAAGAUGAAAAAAACUUGAUAUAUGAAAUGUUGAAAAUAAAGAACAUUCAUAGUAGUAAACUGAGAGUUACUCUAGUUUUUUGUUUUGGUGGUUUAAUUAUGAAAGCUGCAUUAUUUGCCAUAUAAGCUUGUCCAAGUGUAAGCCCUGGCGUUUCGUCCUUAACAUACUGGCCAGUAACGGCAAAGAUGGCUGCAAAACCAACGGUGGUAAUGAGAACACAGUGGCAGAGUUAUAGCAUUGUUUUUUUUUUAUUUGUCAAACGAUAUAUUUUGUUAGAUUAGCCAUCGAUAGAGUUCAAACUCAUAUCGUCAUGCAAUAACUCAACUCAUUUUCAUCACUGUAGUAAAAAGUCACUUGCAAGUUUAUAGCAUUGUUGAGUCCACUAAUGUUGAGCAAUAGGUAGCGUUUGAAAAAUAUGUGAUUUAAUUAUGUACUAUUUUUUGUUAAAAAAAAAAUAUGUACUAGCUAGAUACGUGUUAAGAAAAAUUAGAUUUGGAGACUUUUUUUGUUUUUUAGGUUUUUAAAUUUUUAAAUUUUUUAUUAUUCACGUGCCCAUAUUGACACGUGGUGCCCAGUUAUAAUCCACGUAGCCGCCAUGUCACAAGUUAACAGCGGCUUUAACAGAAAACUUAAUGGAUAUAUGAAAUUAUCCUAAAAUUAACACUCUAGGUACUAGACUAGGAUUAAAAAAAAAAAAAAACUUAUGUAUGAAACGUUGAAAAUCAAUAAACUUCAAGAUGGUAAACUAAGAAUUACCUACUUUUUAAGUUUUCCCUCUCCUUGACGUCUUUUUCUUCUCCAAUCCUUCUUCGAUCUUCACUCUCUCUCAAUUCUGCAAAUCUCUCAUUUUGUUCUUCCUGCACGACUACUGUCCUCGUCGAUCUCCCUCCAGUUGCAAGCCUUUCUCGAAGAUAACCAUCAGUAAUAAGGUAUUCAUCUAGGUAUUUUUAAGGGAUACUUUGGAUGAUGUCCCUAAUCCUUAACAUUCUUUGACUAAAACCUUAAAACUAUGUUUGAAUGAAGAAAUUUAAGAUUAUUAUGGAAUUUUAAAAUGAUGGAAAUUGAAAUGAAGGGAUUUUUUUUUCUAGAAUUUGUGAAUUUUGUUGUUUGGUUAACUUAAAAGAACAAUGGAAUUGAAAAGGAAUUUGUUAAUUUUAAACUCUCAAUCAUAGAAAUUGAGAAAUGACUUAUGUGGAAUUUAAACUUGGAAAUUGAAGGCCCCAAAUUCCAAGUUUUUUUUCCACGCGGAAAUUCUAAAUUUCUAUGUUAUAAAUCCAAAUAAGGAAUUGGUGAAUGUCAAUUUAUAAAUUUCAACUUUUAUCCAAAUUCCAAGUUUAUUUCCCUCAUCCAAACAUAGUGGUAUUCAAAGUUUGAUCAAAGUCCCUUGACUUUGUACACCUCAUUAUAUUACAAUUAAUAUUUAUAUUUUUAUAGUUUUGACAUUAAUUGUUUGAUAUUUUAUGAGAUUUAUAAUCUUAUAAAUUUAAAAUCCCUCAUUAUAAUACUAUUAGAAACAGUUACAAUAAAAAUUUUCAAACAUUUUGAUUGAAUAAAUGGAUAAAAACUAAGUAUAAAUAAUAAAUGGCAAAAGAAUGUAUCCAUAGUGUUAAAAAAAUUGGUACAUUUCACAUAUAACAAAGUGGUACAUUAAUAAAGAAGAAUGGGUACAUUAUAAAUAAAUUAGGGUACAUAUAAAAGAUUAAAAAAUUACAAGUACAAAUGAAUUUAAAAAAAAAAAUACAGGCGCUAAAAGAAAUUAAUACAUGGGUACAAAAUAAAACUAAAAAGAAAAUACUACAAAUUUAAAAAAUGUUGCAAAUUAAAAGUGGGUACAAACUAAAAUAUAAAUAUACGAUACAAAGUUUAGGCAUAAUACAUAAAUAUACCAUAUGUAAUUUUUCUAUCAUUGAUUAAAUAUACAAUGUCACAUGACAGCAUACACAUGAGUACAAACACAAAUAAAACUUUAAAAAAUAUGGGCACAAAAAGAAACUAAUAUAUGGGUACAAAUUAAAAAUGAAAAAAAAUUGGUACAAAUUAAAAAUAGGUACAAACUAAAAAUAAAAAUAUAUGAUAAAAAAAUUUAGCCAUAAAUAUAAAUAUACUAAUUGUAACAAUUUUAACACUAAAGGAAUAUAUUUAAAAAUAAAAAUCUUUUAUUAUUCAAAUAAUUAAUGAUGUUAUUAAUACCCAAGGACCUUGAUCAAAAAUUGAAAAUAAAUAGGAUUUUAAUCAAUGGAGUAGCAAAAAGAAGGAUGUGAACCUAAUUUCUCCUAUUUUUUAUUUUAUAUGUUUUUUUUCUCUCCAAUGUGAGAAUUAGUACUGGUUUGGUACUGAUGUGCUUUUAUAAAAAGUGGGUAUCAAAAAAGUUAAGCUCAAAAAUGUGUUUAGUAAACACUUAAAAACAACUUAUUUUCAUAGUUUUUUGUGAAAAAAAACUGAAAACGUGAAGCAGCAAAGAUGAGCUUAUUCUCACAGCACAAUAUUGAGCUUAAGUUUUAGGGUUAGGAACUUCGUAAUUGGAAAAUUUUAGAGAAAUCAAUUUUAGGGCUAGGAAUCUGGAAUUUAGGAACUGUUGCUUAUAACUGUUAAGUGAAUUUCUAUUUCAAUGUUUAAAGAAUCUUGAGGAGCGUUUACUUUAAGUUUUCGAUGUACUCGAGCAGCCUUUAUUUUAAUUUUACAGUAUUUACAUAUUUAGCAUAUGCAUAGUUGGGUUGAUGCAUAUGAAAACUGUCAUAUCCCGACCUGAGCCUCCACCACAUUUCGGGCUCGACCCUGUCAUAGCACGAUAUUGUCCGUUUUGGGUCCCGACCAUGCCCUCAUGGUUUUUUUUCUGGGAACUCACGCGAGAACUUCCUAGUGGAUCACCUAUCAUAGGAUUGCUCUCGCACAAACUCGCUUAACUUCGGAGUUCCGAUGGAAUCCGAAGUCAGUGAGCUCCCAAAAUGUCUCGUGUUAGGUAGAGAUGAGAAUAUACAUAUAAGGCUUAGAGGAUCCACUUCAAUGGCCGAUGUGGGAUGUUACAAUACACCCCCCUUAAGGGCCCAACGUCUUCAUCGGCACACUUCCGAUCAGGGAUUGGCUUUGAUACCAAAUUGUCACAUCCUGACCCGGGCCCCCACCACAUCCCGAGCUCGACUCCGCCUUCACAGUUUUGUUUCUGAGAACUCACACGAGAACUUCCUAGUGGGUCACCCAUCAUGGAAUUACUCUCACGCGUCGCUUAACUUCUGAGUUCCAACAGAACUCGAAGCCAGUGAGCUCUCAAAAAGCCUCGUGCUAGGUAGAGAUGAGAAUAUACAUAUAAGGCUUACAAUAUUCACUCCCCUGGAUGAUGUAGGAUGUUACAAAGAUUAUCCUAGAGGUAGAAGGAGCAAUUAGUGCCAAAUUCUAAAGAUGAAGCUCAUAUGGACUAAUUGUGAUCAAUUCUAUGAUUAUAAUGUCUGUUAAGGACUUUAGGACUAGUUUGCUAUUACUGUGUUUAAAAAUAAAAAAUUGCUUCUACUAUACUAUUAGAAUAAACAACUGUAAAAUAAAGUUGUUAACUGUUUGGUAAACUUUUUCUUUGUGAGAAUGCUUUUAAUAAAUAAAAAAAAAAGCAGUGUAUGACUGUUUGGUAAACUUUAUAUAAAUUGCUUUGAAUAUGUUAAAUGACUAAAAAGAAUAUAGUAUUUAAUGUGAAAUAAUAAUUGUCAAAGACAAUAAUGUAGGGGUAAAGAUUGUAAAUUUAUAAAACAUGUGGAGGUAUAUUUACCGUUUAAAAAUUUCAUUAAAUGAGCAUUGAUUACUAUGAUUUGAAAAGAAAAGAAAAAACAUUUUUUUAGAAGCAUGAUGAACUUUGCUUCUGUUUUUCUAUGUUUCUACUUGACAACUGUUUUUUUUUAAAGGAACUUUAACGAAAAGUUUCUGGUACUGUUCACUUUAACGAAAAACCACAUUUUACACUAAAAAGUCAAUUCUGGUACUAUUCACUUCACCUUUUAUUUUGUUCUUGUCAUUAAAACUCAAAGUUUUCAAACUCUUUUCAUGAGUUUUCUUUUGUUUUUUUAACAAUUUUUUUUGUUUUAUCAAACACAUUUAAUAUUCUAAAUUUUUUAAUAAGUUGCUUUAUUUGAAAAUACCACAAUCCCAAACAACCCUUAAUAGAUUCUUGAUUACUUGCUUUUUGUUAGUCAAUUAUUGCUAAUUUAUCAAAAAAUUAAAGCGAUAGAAAAACAGGUAUGAGCCAUUUUUGGUAAGUCACCCUCUUUUCUCUCAAGCCAAUCGCUUCUCAUACGUGAAUCCAUUUCUUUCUAUGCAUUCGUGGGAUUGUUAUAGUUGUUAAAGAAAUUCUUAUUGAUAUUACCUUUUCAUCAAAACUAAACUUUUUAAGGAAAACUAAUAAAAAUAAUUUAAAAACUUUGAGUUUUAACGAUAAGCACAAAAUAAAAGGUAAAAUGAAUAAUAUCAUGAUUGACUUUUUAGAGUAAAAAUGUGGUUUUUCGUUAAAGUAAACAGUAUUAGGAGCUUUUCGUUAAAGUUCCUAACUUUUUAUCAUCAUCGCGUAUGUCCCUUAAAUGGUUAGAGUUAAAUUUGUUCUACAAUUGAUGGUGAGAGGAGGUCUGAAAGCUUCUAUCAUGUUGGACUUCAUAAAUCAAAAUUUGUCUAUAUUCUUUGAGAAAUGCUAGCUACCUUCCCUAUUUAUCUUCUCUUUUGUGUCUUUCCUACUCAGUAUUUGACAUGUAUACUCUAUUCACCGAUAAAAUUCAAUAUUUAGAGGUGUGAUAUUCACACAUCCCUUUUUACUUCUCCCACAUUUUUUUAAUUUUUAACCGUUGGAUCGGAUGAAUUGAAGAAUAUCAACGGACAUAAAUUAACAAGGAGUGUGUAAGAAGUAAAAAAUUGUGUGUGGAUAGCACACCCUAAUAUUUAAUGCUAUGAAAGACAAAUAAUUUUCUUACCCUUACAAUAAAUCUUAACAAACUAAACUCCCUACCAUCUUCCCUAGCAAGCAACGGUCCUGCUCCAAAACAUGGUCAAAACUUGGUCUCCUAGCUUUUUCCUUAUCUUAACCCUCAACCACGAGAUAAUUACCUGUAAAAAGCCAAAAUAAUUUUCAAAACUUCAUUUUUGUUCUGCGUUACCGGUCUUUAUCUUCGAGAAAUUCUUUCACAACCACGAUUAGACUCGGUACAAAACUAGUAGAUUGAAGAUAAUUUUUUGUCACAGCGUUUAAGAGAAGAUCAGAAGUAGCCUUGGCCACGCCUGAACUUUUGAGGAAGUUUUGCAUGCAUGUAUGGCAUAAACUUUGUUGGUUACUGCUAAAAAGACCAUGGGAGGUCUCAGUUCCGCCGUUAAAAAAAAUUGAGAAUACAAAUAUGCAAAUGUUGUUGGAAGUUUUGAGACUCUUGUCCCACAUUGGUGAAAACAAAAUUCCAAAGUACCUUUAUAUACUUUUUGUCUUCUACAAUAUUAGUUAUGUGUUGGACCACUUGGAAUGGGAAUUGAGGCUUGGGCCACCAUUUCUGUGGAUUGGGCUUGAUGAUUAUACCAUAAUAUUAGUUUUAAUUUCGAAUUAAGUUUUUAAUUAAAUUAAUUAAAAACGUUUUGAUUAAAGAUACAACCUUUUGUAAAGAGUUGUAAAGCUUCAUAAAGGACUUGAACCUAGAAGAAGUAAAAGGACAAAAAUCCGAAAGGACUUUGGGCCUGAUUUUGUGACUUUAUUAACCGAGACAGAACCUCAAUCAUUCAAGGAGGCCAUGUCCACUCCUGAAGCUCCAUUUUGGAAGGAUGCAGUUAACAGUGAGAUAGAUUCCAUUAUGCAAAAUCAUACAUGGGAAUUAGUCGAUUUGCCCCCUGGCAAUAAGCCAAUUGGGUACAAAUGGAUCUUUAAGAAGAAAUUAAAACCAGAUGGUACAAUUGACACAUAUAAGGCUCGUUUGGUAGCUAAAGGAUACCGUCAAAAACAUGGUUUGGAUUUCUUUGAUACAUACUCACCUGUAACGAGAAUUACUUCAAUAAGAUUAUUGAUUGCUAUAGCUGCACUCCAUAACAUGGAAAUACAUCAAAUGGAUGUAAAAACUGCAUUCUUAAAUGGAAACUUAGAUGAGGAAAUAUAUAUGGAACAACCCGAGGGGUUUGUAGUUAAAGGUAAAGAACACAAAGUGUGUAAACUUGUGAAAUCGCUAUAUGGGCUUAAACAAGCUCCAAAGCAAUGGCAUGAAAAAUUUGACCAUGUUCUGAUCACACACGGUUUUAAGAUAAAUGAGUGUGAUAAGUGUGUCUACACAAAAACUCAAAAUAAUGCUUGCGUUAUGUUGUGUUUAUAUGUAGAUGAUAUGUUUAUAAUGGGAACUAACAAAGAGAUAAUACAUUGGACCAAGAAGAUAUUGAAAUCAAGUUCCGAUAUGAAAGAUCUUGGUCUAGCUGAUGUGAUUCUUGGUAUAAAAAUCAAAAGAAACCAAGAAGGUUAUAUUCUUACGCAAUCCCAUUAUAUAGAAGCAACACUUAGAAAGUAUGGUCAUUUGGAAAGUAAAGAUGAAAUUACUCCUUAUGAUGCCAAUAGCAAACUAAAGAAAAAUAGUGGUGAUGCUAUAUCUCAACGUGAAUAUUCACAAGUCAUUGGAAGCCUUAUGUGCAUUAUGAAUUGUACAAGGCCUGAUAUAGCUUACUCAGUAAGUAGACUAAGUAGAUAUACAUGCAAUCCUGGGCAUGAUCAUUGGGAAGCUUUAAUUCGAGUAUUGAGAUACUUAAAGCAUACAAUAAAUUAUGGAUUGCAUUAUACAAGGUAUCAUCCUGUGCUUGAAGGAUUUACUGAUGCGAAUUGGAUAUCGGAUAGCAGUGAUACGAAAUCCACAAGUGGAUAUGUAUUUACUUUAGGAGGAGCAGCAAUAUCUUGGAAAUCCUCCAAACAAACGUGCAUAGCCUGAUCAACAAUGGAAUCGGAAUUUAUAGCCCUCGAUAUGGCUGGAGGAGAAGCUGAAUGGCUAAGAGAUUUUUUGGAAGAUGUUCCCAUAUGGCCUAAACUUGUAACGGCAAUAUGUAUACACUGUGAUAGUUUAGCUGCACAAUAUCGAGCUAAAAGUAGUGUAUACAAUGGGAAGUCUAGACAAAUUAGACGAAGACAUAAUACAAUAAAGCAAUGGCUCUCUAGUGGUGUAAUUUCUAUUGACUAUGUCAAGUCAAAAGAUAAUAUUGCGGAUCCGCUUACUAAAGGCUUAUCUAGAGAACAAGUUAAGCAUACAUCGAGGGGAAUGGGUUUAAAGCCAAUAGAGUAAAAUGAAACUGCCAAAUGGAAACCUAACCUAGUUGAUUGGAGAUCCCAUGGUCUAGGUUCAAUAGGCUAACUGGUUUGGCUAGAUUCAAGAAGAAACACACUUACAUACCCAUUCCUAUGAUGGAAGAAGUGUGGUGACUGCUGAUGAGUAUAGGAUACAUUAGUUUAAUGAUAUUGAUACUUGUAAGUCAAGUGGAAUAGUAGCAGCCUAUUCUUAAUCAAUAUCACCUAUAUGAGAGAAAAUGUGGGGUCGCAUUUAUGAGAAUUAUAUGGCUACAUUCUCUAAAGCUCUCAUGAAUCCAGGAUUUGUUCAGGACCAAAAUGAACACAAACGUAUGAAUUUGCGAUGUGUUGGUGUGGCAUAUGUUUUGCUUAUUGUCUUGGUUUACUGCGGAGAUGAACAGUUCAAGAUUUUAUAUUCACUGCGUCAUCUAGUAAAUCCGAUAAGUAUAUACUAAGGUAGGUUCAAGUCCAAAAGACACCUUUCCUGAUGUAUGUCACAUCUAUUGUUUACUCUCGUAUCUUAGUUUCUCUAAGACUAAAUAGUCGUCUCAAAAUGUGGGGUAUUGUUGGAAGUUUUGAGACUCUUGUCCCACAUUGGUGAAAACAAGAUUCCAAAGUACCUUUAUAUACUUUUUGUCUUCUACAAUAUUAGUUAUUUGUUGGACCACUUGGAAUGGGAAUUGAGGCUUGGGCCACCAUUUCUGUGGAUUGGGCUUGAUGAUUAUACCAUAAUAUUAAUAUUAAUUAAUAUUAAUUAAUCAAGACAAGGGCCUUGGGGCACUUGGGGCCUAAGAAUUAAAAUUAAUCUGAUCAAUUAGUUUUAAUUUCGAAUUAAGUUUUUAAUUAAAUUAAUUAAAAACGUUUUGAUUAAAGAUACAACAUUUUGUAAAGAGUUGUAAAGCUUCAGAUACAUCCAAAAGGUAUUUGAAGAGGUAUGAAAGAGCCUAUAUAACUGGAGUCCUCAGUUCAUCAUCAAUCAACCUUUCUUCUUCCUUUUCUUCCGUACAAACUUUCUAGAGAGAGUAAACACACAAAGCAAUUCGCUAGAAUUCUAUAAUCCAGUGCGGGUUGUAGGAUUAGGUAGUUGUAUCCUGGUCGAGCAGACGUUGUAGAACCACAAGCACAAGAGUGGGACGGAAUUACUGUUCGAAUGACAUAGCUUUUACGCUAGCCUCUACCUUCUGUAAUCAAGUUAGUACUUUUGAUAUUCUCAUAUUUAAUUUUCUGUAGUUGUUGUGUAUCAUUCUGUAUUGCAAGUAUUUUUGAGUAAUAAAGUAUAAAUAUUUCAAGUUCUGUAUUUCUGUUAUUUCUGUUUCUAAAUUGUUCUCCAACAAAUGUUAGGUGCCUAAGUAGUUUUGAGAUUUGUGUACGUUGGAGGAAACUAAACUAAACUUAUUAAAACAUAAAAAGAUGAUUCCAAUGUCAGUUUGUUUGGAUCCAAUUUUACACUAUCAACCUGCGUAUUUUAAGUCGGUGAAUAGAAGAAGAUCAGGGGCAUAGCAUGAAGAUUCAAUUAAAAUUUAUGCAAAAAAAAAAGGAAAAUCAAAAGAAGACAUGUUGAUAUGAUCAUAUUAUUAUUAAUGAUCAUUUAUAUGCCAAAAUGGUCAUUAAGUUGACAUAACUUCUCAGUUUAGUCUCUGACAAAGAAAAUAGAUAAAUCCUGAUAUUCCUCCCCCCACUGCCUCAAACGAACAAUCAGAAUUAGCAUGCCCAAUUCUCCUGCAUCUAUAACAGAAGUCCUGCAGUCUCUCAUAUCGGAAUUCUAUCCAAGUCUCUGUAUUAUUUUCCCUUGGGAUCCAACAUCCAGUAGUGAAGGGCUUAGUGGUGUCAACCUCCACUUUAAUCCUUAAGAACCCCUUUACCAUAGACAGGUCUUCAAUCUCCUCCACCUUCCCAAGCUUAGCUGCCAAACACCUCAAAUUUGUUUCUGUACUACGAUUGGGUGGUAGGCCCCGAAUUUGGAUCCAGAACGGAACCUCAUUCAUAUUCACUUCCUCCAAAGCUAGCUCCUGGGGCCAACGCUUGACAGAGAAAUUAUGUUUCAUGACCCCCCAAGGGACCUGCUACAGUAUCUUUUUUGCCGUGCUUUCAUCUUGGACUGUAAUAAUAAACGUAUUUUCCUUAACCCAUUUUACCUCUGUUUCCCCAAGCUCAUUCCAAGCUGAUCUGAGCACAUUUCGUAUUCCCCAUUUAUUAAGAGUUUUGUUAGCCAAAACAGUACCCACCAGCUUGAUUCCUUGCUCCAUUGAAGAGAUCUCCAAUUUGUUAUUCAGUUGCACUACGAGCUCGUCAACCUCACCCCCAGACAUCACAAUCGAUAGGUACAACAUUGAAACUAAUCUCCAAAUAAUUUCAACCUGGCCUUCUACCUUUUUAUCUCUCUCUUUCACCUUCCACUCUAUCCAAAUUUUCUAUGUAUGCCCCAGAUCCUUUCGAGAUUGAGACCCGCCAAAGAUACUAUUCCCCCCAGGUAGCCCCCAUUUACUCUCCUCUCACAAAUAACCCAAGUCACAAAACAAAUGAAAAGGAAAGACCAAUAUUCAAGCGCUUUCUCACCUGUGUUAGGCUUAGAGGAGUUAUUCGUGGGACCCUCCUUAUGGAUUAGAAUCGGCACAUCUUCUCGAUCUGGCAUGUCACAAUUAAUAGUGGUAGGUUUUAGGUUGUUUCCCAUCUGAAUUUCCUUCCAACCUUCGAACCCAAAGUCUAGAACUGACCUGCCACAGACUGGAUCUCAAGGGGAAACAGCAAAAUUAAAACAAACCUUUGCAGGGUAAGGAAUAACUGACGAUGAUUUGACUAAAGAGAGCCGCGGAAAAUCAAUAUCAGAGCAAGGAAGCCAGAGGAGUUAAUGAGGGGGCGGAAUAAGAAUAAACGAGAGGGAAGAAGUAGUUGGGGGACUUUAUUAGGGAAAGAGAAGGUUCAGUCGAGCAAGUCAAGCCAAGAAGGAAAACCCACACUGAGGAGGGACUCUCACUCAGGAGAGAGGAGCUCUCACGGCCGAGAGAAUGGUAGAGAGCAUUUUCCAGUUUGUGGAGUUUUUUUUUUUUCCAGUAAGGGUUUUCUCAGAACCUUCGUCUGUUAUGAUAUGAGAAAGACGAAAUGCUGGUACUAGCAGAGUGGGGCAUAGCACAAGGAGGGAGACAUAAGGGGAAUAAUGAAAGAAGACAGAGGGUACCACAAGUCUCGGGGAAGGGGGUCUCAAGUCCUCCAACAUCCCAACAGGAAAUCAGUGUUAGUGCAAAGAAAUGGCAUAGAUUGCAAGAAAAAAGGCUGGGUCCUUUUCCAAACCCGGCCCAAUGGUUCACGGAGAAUAUAGGCUUGAUAGGCCAAAAUAGAUUAAUACCGGGUCUUGAUCGUACUACCUUCGGUAAAGGCCCAUCCAUUGUAAUAGAAGAAAUCCUGGAGACGAAUGUUUCUCAGCUUGAGGGUGGGACGUUGGCCGGUAUCCAUAGAGGUAAGGAGUUAGACCAAAGGGGGGAUGACCAUAGCAGAAGAAACAAGCGGGUGAUGAAUGACAAUACUCUCAAAUCGGCACAAGUUCCCCAGAAGAGAUGCAAGUUGAUGAUUGAGGACCGAAAUGUUAUAGAGAGAAAAGGAAGAACGGCAGAAGAUAUAGGAAGAAUGACGAUCAAAGAAAGAUGUUCGAUGAUGAUGAGAGCUCUGGACGCUGAAGAGGAGUUACAGGAGGUUCUGAUUGAGUACCAGGAUAUGUGGGAUUAUAUGGAGAAUGUCUCGGCGAAAGAAAAAGAAGCGUUGUUGGCCAAGAAAAAAGAAAAGUCUUCCAGAGUCAGUGGCGGCUGGCCUUCAACAGCCGCACGAUCGCCAUAACGCACCUAUUUUAGAACUGUCGUGGCCUAGGGUCGGACACGGUGGUUCGUGCCCUUCAUGGGCUAAUUAGGGAACAUCGACCCUCUAUGAUCUUUCUGUCAGAAACAAAAAUGAAAGAUCAUAGGAUUGAAAGAGUAAGAAGAAGGAUGGGAUAUCUGAAUGGCUUUAAUGUAGCUCAUGUUGGGAGUGCGGGAGGUCUAAGCCUCUAGUGGGACGAUACAAUAUGUGUUGAGGUGAAAAAGUCAUCUAAGCAUUUCAUUGAUGCUAAAUAUUAUAUUGGUGAGUCUGGGUCUGGGUUUCGUUUCACUGGAGCUUAUGGUACAUCAUACAGGGCGGAGAAAAAAAGCUUCUGAAGGGAUAUGAUCUAUAAAUUCAAUCCUGAUAAUGAUCAUUGGUUAUGUGGAGGCGAUUUCAACGAAUUUAUAUGGGAUCACGAGAAAGCAGGAGGUGCGGAAGUGAGAUACAAUAGGCCGCGAUAUUUGGAGGAGUUCAUGAGUAAAACGAAGAUUAUGGAUGUGGGUUUUAAUGGGCCUAAAUUUACAUGGAGGGGGAUGCGAAAUGGGCAAAUGGUUGAGGCGAGGUUGGACAGAGCUCCGAUGAAUGAAAAAUGGCAAUCUUUGUGGCCUAAUACUUCGGCAGUGAUAGGCACUUGUGUGGGUUCAGACCAUUGUCCAGUUGUGAUGAAAUGCAAGUUGCAUGGGGAUGAAAGAAGUAAAAGAUUGUUUCGUUUUGAGGCUUUUUGGACAAAAGAAGGGGAAUGCAAAGAUAUUGUGGAGGAGGACUGGGGUAGGCAUAAGGAUGGGAUGCCUAUUGAAAGAUGGAAUUGGAGGAUAAAUGACUGUCGAAACAAACUCUGGAGGUAGAGCAAGGAAAAAUUCAAAAAGCGUGGGAGAUAGUUGAAGGAGAAAUUAGAGCUUCUUGGCCGGUUGCAACUCAACUGGAGAGAGUAUGAAGAAGAAAUUAAAGAUCUUUCCAAAGAAGUUGGACCAUUUGUGGAGACAAGAAGAAUGUUUUUUGUUACAACGGUCAAGAGUGCAAUGGCUGAAGGAGGGGGAUGCAAAUACUAGAUUUUUCCACCAAUCGACAAUACAAAGAAGAAGAAGAAACAAGGUGAUUACUUUGAAGAAUGGGAACGGAGAAUGGGUGGAUGAUCCGAGAUUGAUUAGGAGAGUGGUUGAUGAGCAUUUUGUGGACCUGUUCACAUCAGUGGGACAGCGGGAUUGGGGAGAUGUUCUCGGCCGCAUUUCCCCGAAGGUAACAAUGGCGAUGAACGAGGUCCUUUCUGGGCCGGUUUCAGUUGAUGAGGUUAAGUCUGCUACUUUGGAAAUGGGGGGGCUAAGGCUCCAGGACCGGAUGGUUUUUCUGGAAUUUUCUACCACAAACACUGGGACAUCCUAGCUGUGGACGUAAAUGAGAUGGUUGGGGUUUUGAUGAAUGGUCAGGAGGAUCCAAGAAGAUUAAAUGCAACUCAUUUGGUGUUGAUUCCAAAGGUCCAAAAUCCGGAAUUGGUCUCCCAAUUUAGGCCAAUUAGCUUGUGCAACUACUCUUACAAAGUUCUGUCGAAGGUUUUGGCAAAAAGGCUCAAAGCUUUUCUUCCGGAAUUGAUUUCACCAACUCAGAAUGCUUUUGUGGCUGGCUGGCAGAUUCAAGACAACAUUGGAGUUGCUCACAAACUUUUCCAUUUCCUAAAAAAUAGGAAAGCAAGAUGCAAUUGGGAGUUAGGGGUUAAGUUGGAUAUGCAUAAGGCCUAUGAUCGUGUGGAAUGAGACUUUCUGAUGGCAGUGAUGGAGAAGAUGGGGUUUGACAGAAAAUGGAGGAAUAUGAUUCUCGGGUGUAUUUCGUCAGUCAACUUUGCUAUUCUCUUGAAUAGGCAACCUAGUAAAAAGUUUGCUCCUUCCAGGGGUUUAAGGCAGGGAGAUCCACUCUCCCCAUACUUGUUCUUGCUGGUUAGUGAAGUCUUCUCCCUUCUUAUUCAAAAGUAUAGUGAUCUUGGUCACCUAAGAGGAAUUCAAAUGAGUUCUCCUGGCCCUACCAUCUCCCAUAUCUUUUUUGCCGAUGAUACACUCAUUUUUCUGAGGGCGGAUGUGGAAAACUGUUAACAGUUAUCCAAAGUGAUUGAUGAUUUUUGCUUGGCUUCUGGGCAGAAAGUUAAUAAAUCCAAGUCAAGUAUUUUCUUUGGAUGUAAUGUUCCGAGGCAUCUGUCCACUCAAUUGGCGUCUACCCUUGGCAUGGAAAUAGUGGAGGAUCCUGGUUCUUACCUGGGAGUUCCUGCUAUCUGGAGCCGCUCUAAGAAAACCGGUCUUGCUUAUAUCAAGGGGAGAUUAUUGGAGAAACUGUAAGGAUGGAAGAAAGCUUUUCUGUCUCAAGCGAGGAGGGAGGUUCUCAUUAAAACUGUGGCUCAAGCUAUUCCGGCUUAUCCGAUGAAUCUUUUCAAAUUUCCAGCCUCGUUCUACAAGGAGUUAGAUGUCGUGAUUUUGAACUUUUGGUGGGGACAAAAGGAGGGAGAGCGCCGAAUUCAUUGGAUUGCUAAAGAAAAAUUGAGGUGGGCGAAAGAGAAAGGUGGUUUGGGUCUAAGAAGCUUCGAAGUGUAUAAUGAUGCUCUGUUGGCAAAACAAUGUUGGAGGUUAGUCGAAGACCCAAACUCGUUAUGGGCUUUGGUGUUAAAGGCUAGAUACUUCCCUAAUUAUUCUUUCCUUGAGGCAAAAAAAGGCGGGAGAGCUUCUUGGGCUUGGUCAAGCCUUCUGAAGGGAAGAGAUAUUUUAUUAAAUGGAGCUCAUUGGCAGAUAAUGAAUGGCAAGGAGAUUAAAGUGUGGGGGGAUCGUUGGGUUCCAGCUCUCCCAUUGGGUAGGCCUACUCAUUUGGGGUCGGUCCAUGUUUCCCGAAACUUGAGGGUGGAGUCUCUGAUUAAUCCGGUGACUAGGGUUUGGGAUGUUGAUUUUUUAAAACCUUUUCUUGAGCAACCCGAGUUAGAGGCCAUAUUGGACUUGCAUAUUGGUGAUUCCUCGAGAAGUGAUCGUUUGAUUUGGCCGUUUGAGAAAAAAGGGAAGUUCUCGGUUAAGUCGGGAUAUCACUGGGCUAUUGAUAGAUACCUCUCCCCUCCCAACUGUUCUUUAUCCCUCAUCCCUACUUGCUUCUGGAAGUUGGUUUGGAGCUUAAAAACUCCCCCAAAAAUAAGAAGCUUUAUGUGGAAGACUCUCCAUGGGGCACUUGCAACAAUGGAAAAUCUCGCACAAAGGAGAUCGGCCCAGUCCCCACUUUGUCCAAUUUGUCAAUUACAAGAGGAAACAAUCGAACACAUCUUUCUGCAGUGUCCCUGGGUAAGUGUUAUCUGGCGUGGAGGUUGUUUCAGUUUGAGGGUGGGUAUUUCGGCUACAGUGUCGUGGGCUCAUUGGCUGCUGCAGGUGUUUACUUCGGUGAAGGGCUUAAAGGAUGUGAGUCUAAAGAUGUUUUCAUAUAUUGCUUUUACAUGCUGGAAUAUCUGGAAGUCUAGAUGUAAUUUGCUCUUCAACAACCACCAGAUUAAUCCAAGGCAGGUGAUCUUUGCCUCUUCCCUCUCGGCUUCUUCUUACACUGCUGCUCAUCUAGCUCUGUCGCCCGAGCCUAGCACGGGUCAACAUGAGUCUAGGGUUGGAAUUAGGUGGAGUCCACCGAACAUGGGCAGUGUGAAAAUAAAUGUGGAUGCUAGUUAGAAUCUCAAGAGCAAGUCGGGCUUCAUUGAGGUGGUGGCGCGGUGUGAGGAGGGUCGGUUCCUGGCGGCAGAAAGGUAUAGUGGGAAGGCGUCUAGUGCAGAUAUGAUGAAGGCUCUGGCUAUUCUGAAUUGGUGUAGAUUUGGAAAAAGUAGGGGAUGGAGCUCCGUUAUUAUUAAAUCUGAUUCAUUGGAAUCAAUUUCUUGUCUAAAGGAUAUGGCAAGGAAUGGCAGUUGGGAUGCCUUUCCUAUCUUGGUGAAAUGUUGCAGCUUAGGUAAGGAUUUUCCUGACUGCCGCUGGUCUUGGGUUCCAAGAUCGGCCAAUUCAGCGGCGGACUAUUUAGCGUCGAGUAAGUGUAGGGAAGCUUGUGAUCAGAUUUGGGUCAAUAGACCCCCAUCUUCCCUUGUUCAUGUUCUAUGUAAUGACGGCCUUCCAUGCCCCCCUUAGCUGUCCUUUUGGGUUAUGCGAUGUGGGACGCUUUAGCAUUAGAUGCGGCGUAGUGGUAUUGUUGUGAACCACUCGUAUUACUUUCUUUGCUGUUAUUGGUGUCUUGCCUCUAGGUAGGCUUCCUUCCUUGUAUUUGCUUGCCAUCUUUGCCUUUUAAUGUUACCAGGUUCCCAAAAAAAAAAAAAAUAGAUAAAUAGGUCCUUGGAUUUGUCCAAUGUCAAUCAUUUUGAUCAUUCCAUAAAAAAUUUGUCAAUAUCCUCGUUAAAUUGUCACGUGAAAGACCACGUAAUCACCUUUCAAGGGUAUUUUUGUCAAACCAACUCUUUAGUUAGCAACAAUGUUGAGAAAAAUUUCACGAAAUCACUACUAUGAAACUAUUUAUUAGUGUCGCUAUGAUAACUUACAAAAAACGUAUAUUACUGUCAAAUAUGAAGAAAAAUCCGACAAAAAAUAAAUGCAGUGGCGAAUAUAAUAAGCGACAGAAUUGUCAGCGUCAGGAAAUGAAUUUUCUAUCGUUUGUUCGAAAAAAAAAGAAUUAAUUGACAACUAAUUGAAUCACAUUAUUAUGCACGUGCGAAAAAACUUUUUUAUAACCGGUAAUACGUGCCUCUUAAUAUGUUUUGAACGUGUUUAAAAAUAGAGAAAAUAAUAUUUAAUAAACAAUCAGAUUAUUGCUAGUCUAUAAUGAGAUACUAUUUAUAUAGAGAAAAAAAAAAUUCUAUAAAAGGAAUUAGUUAUUAAAAAAAACACUGUUUAUAUGACGAAAUACCCCUACAUUAUUUGAUGCAUUAUUUUGGAUUGCUUUUGAUUUUUUGUUUGGAGGGCAUUUCUAUCCACCCAUCUUAACCAAAUUAACACUGCACUGAACUAUCAUUUUCGGUUGAACAAUCUAAUAUGAUAUCGACAAUUUUUUUUCAAUGUGGAAAAUAGGAAAAAGUUAUCACACAUUGAGUCCCGGUUUGAACUCGUCAAUCAAAUCCAACAAAUAGUGCCCACCCAUAAUCUAAAUCAAUCUCAACACGUUUAGUUUGCUCCAAAAUCUCAUAAACACCACUUGUAUUCUCAUUUUUGUUUUUUAACGGCAGAAGCAAUACCUGCGUGGUUUUUGUACCCAAGAACCAACACAGUGUAUGUGAUAUAUGUACUCAUGCAAAGCCACCUCAAAAUGGACAGGAGGGCUGGGGCAAGAAGGGCGUGAAGGUCUUAGUUCCUUUCCCUAUUUUUGUGUAUGAACAUGAUCAUCCAACUGCUAAGCCUUGGAGAUACUACCCUUGCCGUACCAAAAGAUCCAAACCAUAUGUAAGACUAAAAGUACACAAGUUUUCGAUUCAGAUAAUUUCAAUUGACCACCAUGAGGAAAAUGUCUCUUAAUGCCAUGGGAAAUAUAUAUGUUUCUUAAUAACGUUUGAUGAAGUCUCUUCAAAUAUAUUGAUUUCAUUUACGGAAUUGAUAACAAGAGGAACUCCAAAAAAAUUAUAAUACGAACUUACAGAAUUAUCAUUUGAAGACAAAAAUUUGUGAGCGACUCAAACUUGGACUUGCUGGUUACCACCACCAACAACAUCAUGCCCCCUCCAGUCCACUGUACCAGCUCAAUAAAGCACCAAGACAUGACAUUACCACUUAAACAUUUGACAUACUGGCAGAUGGGAGACGCUAUACACUGAAAAAGGAGCAUGUAUUCUUCUGUAAGUUGGCGCAUCCUAACGUAAAUUAUACAUGCUCCAAAAUAAACAAAAAACCAGCUUUCUGGAUUACAUUUAAAAUACGAUCUCGCAGGUAUAGGUUCAUAGCUAAUAUCUUAUAUCAUGCAAAAGUUUCAACAGUACCGUACACUGGAUCAGAAAAACUUCUAAGAACAACCAAACCCUGUACUAAAACAAAUGGAACCCUGGAGAUGCAACUUUGAGACGGUAUGCAAAUCUCUAUAGUCCUCACUUACAUGUUCAAGACAGAUAUGUCCAGGGAGCAAAUGGAAGAAAGUUUAACCUAUGCUCCCUCCCACCAUCCACACUCCCUUAGAACACCAUGUUUUGUAACCAAUCUAACCAAUUAUACGAUAUAUAUUAUCAAUUGGACAAUUGUAAGCUAAAUCCUACAGGCAAUAAUCAUUAUAACAGUGUCAAUUGAUGGUCAAGCAAUCUUCUGAGACAGAAAUAUGAAAAGCCAAACUCCGCCUAUAACCUCCUUUACUAUCCAUGAGAAGCAAGACAUUUUGGUGGUAAAUCAUUUUUCUAACCCGAAACCCUUCCCAAAAUGUUGAAAUUUCCAGGUUUUCAAGACAUGAAUAAUUGGUCACUUCCUUCACAUGAAAAAUUGGAUCUUGGUUAUAUAAGGCAUAGCUAGCAGCGAAGCAGCAAGUGGUAACCAAAGAAUACACACCCAAACCAAUAAAGUAAUUCCAACCAAUGAAAAUUAGCCGUAUACAAAUUCAUCAAUGAACUCCAUGGAAAGAACCAAAACAUAGAGUAGCGUAAAGGAGCACUUAAAUCCUAUGAAACUUUUAUCUACUAAGUAAAUUUUACCUGAAAUCAAUGUCACUAUUCCUUGUGUGCAAAUUGCAACCGGAUUUGUCUGCCAUCCAGAACCUGAAAAGAACACAAACAUGAAACAAUAAUACCACUUUUCAUUUCUAAGAAGGUAGCGGGCUGAUUUCAAGCUUUCCACACAUGCCAAUUACAAAGAAAUUAAUCAUGAUAGAUGAAACUACCUGACCAUCCAUCUCCUUGAGAGCAGUGGUGGCUUCACUUUCAGAAGUAAACUUCACAAAUCCAUAACCUCUCGAUUUCCCACUCACGUGAUCACAUAUAACUUUAACUGUUUAAUACGAUGACCCAAUUGCUCAAGUAAGUACAUGGUAUCAUUACAUCAUCCACAAGAAAAUAAAGAUCUACAAAUAUAACAACCACAAAGAGUUUAAUGUUACCUUCAAUUAUUUCACCAUGUUUUCCAAAAGCUUCCUUAAGAACAGGUUCGUUUGUAUCCCAGGAAAGUCCUGCAUAUUACAGACAACUUAAGCUGUAGUGUAAUUACAAUAUCAAAAGCCUUUGAAGUUAAAAUCCAAAAAUUCAAUGUUAUAUCUUUCAUCAACAAUUCAAAUACAAAUGCGAUAUUCUAAACUGCUCUUAUCUGCAGUGAAGGGGGUUCAAAUUCCGGUGCAAGAGUGCGGGCACACCGCCCGUUGCCAAUUCUGCAAACCCUUUAUAGUGAUUGAUUUAGCUAGUGAUAAGUUUUCAACCUGGGAUUGGCGGAGGUGGCUAGAGCAGUGCACUCCCCCUCUGCACCCAAGUUCGAGUUUUCUUCGACAGUUUAGAUGAAUUUAGCGUAAAUUAUCCGUAUUGUUUGUCCAAAAAAGAAGGCUUCGACCACAAAAUUUAACUCAAAUAAAAUGGACCCAGAAGAAAAUGAAAAACAAAACUCAAAAAGAAAUAAAACGGAGGAAAGGGAUAAGUUUGGCAGACCUGAAACGAACAAUUUUGGAGCAGGAGUGGCGAGUGAGUAAAAUCCUGGCCAAGACAGACAUGCGCAGAAUUCCAACUACGCCAUUUGCGCAUCUCAUUUCACCUUACCCUGCGCCGGUCUAUUGGGAAGAAGAUGGCUGCCAAACACCGCCGUCAUGAGCUUACUGAAGGCUCGUUUAUCCGGCUGUGGUUCAAGUAAAAUGAGCUAGGCGAGCUGGGUUUGCUGGGUUUGUUGGAGGAGAGAAAGGGCUUGCAAAUUUGGGCAAGGAAUUCUACCCAAAAACACCAAUUGUCAUUUAGUAUCAAGGAUUGGAUUGGGCUGAUCAACUCCAAAGGUGCAUUGAAAGUAAAGUUGGACGAAUUUUCAUUCUGAAGCGAUUAAAGUGAGAAAGAACUCACAAAUCCUAUCAUUUUAAGGAGGUGUCAAAAUGGUCCAUAAGUUUAACAUAACUCCUUACUUUAUUCUCUGAUAAUGAAAAUCAAUAGAAGUAGUCCAUGAAUUUAUCAAUAAAUUAUUUUGGUUCUUUUGUCAAUACAUUCAUUAAAUUGUCACAUUAAUAGCCACAUGAUGUGAUCACUUUUUACAGCAUUUUUGUUAACCCAACAUCUUAAUGGAAAUAUUGACAAGUUUUUCGUGAAAUAACCAAAAUAAUUUAUAAUAAAUAAACUCAAGAACUACUUUUAUCGAUUUCCAUCGUCAAGAAUCAAAAUAAGAAAUUAACCAAUUUCAUAAACUAUUUUAACUAAAAAAACCUUUUUUGGAUGAAUCUAGGGUUUUCCUGCACGUAGGCGAUGACUAAUCCCUUGAGCCAAGUCGAACCCCAUUCGGGAGCAAGAUCUCCCAAUGUUGACUUCUCCAUUCACAAGGCUCGAACUUGAGACUAGGCCUGGCAAACGGGUCGUGUCAGUCGUGUUCGUGUCGUUUUCGUGUAACACCUGUUAUCUUAAUGGGUCGUGUCGUGUCACACCCGUUAUCUUAACGGGUCCUUAACAGGUCGUGUCACUUUACCCAACGGGUAAAGUGACCCGACCCGUUAUGACCCGUUAUGACCCGUUAAGAAAAAUAUAUUUUUUUUCUUAAAUUUGCACAUACCACACAUUGCCACAUAAAUAUUACUUCAAAACAUUAAAACACAUUUGUCGUUUAAGUACUACAUCUACACUAAAAAAUAAGAGCCUAAUAAAAAAAUAAUACAUACACUACUAAUCUAUUACAAAUUUUAAAUGUGCAAGGAUAUGCAAAAUGAAACAGUUUUUGUUUUCAAGGUUGUGAAAUCUUUCUCAAAAGUUUAAACCUCAAUUUACAAAAUCCUCGAUUUACAUCGAUCAUCAUUAAAUUGCAUUGGAACUUUGGCUUGAUCUAUUGCCUUCAAGAGUUAUGUUGAUGAUAUUUUCAGUAAGGUUUUCCACGUCAUAACUAUCUUCUGCAUAAACUAAGCAUAGAAAAACCAAACAUUAAAAAUCAUUCAAAUUAUGAGAAGUUUACCAAAAUAAUUAUGAAAAAAAUAAAAACAAUAGUACUAUACCAUACUUUUAUUAAGUAUAAACAUAAGAUUUUGUGGUAUCCACUAAUGUAAAUAUUUUUAAAUUGAAGAUCGAAUUCAAUCAUUGUAUUCAUAUAAGGUCAAGGAGUGUAGUUCUAAACAAUCAUCAAAAUCGGAGUUAAAUUAACCGUUAAAUCGUGAUUUUUCGUGUAUAACCGUCGAAAAGUUUUGUCCCGUUACUUGCUCUCUGAAUGUUUUUGUUUUUGCAAUUUUUGGCGUAUGCGAUCUCGAAAUAUAUAUAAACAUGUUUGACGGUUGGAUCAUUGAAACUAGUUUCGUAGAAUGAGUAUCCCAUUAAAACAAUAGAUUCACUAAUACUUAAGAGUUUAUUCAUACUUUUAUUAAGUAUAACAUAAGAUUUUGUGGUAUCCACUAGUGUAAAUAUUUUAAAUUGAAGAUCGAAUUCAAUCAUUGUAUUCAUAUAAGGUCAAGGAGUGUAGUUGUAAAAAAUCAUCAAAAUCGGAGUUAAAUUAACCGUUAAAUCGUGAUUUUUCGUUAUAACCGUCGAAAAGUUUUGUCCCGUUACUUGCUCUCUGAAUGUUUGUUUUUUGCAAUUUUUGGCGUAUGCGAUCUCGAAAUAUAUAAAAAUAUGUUUGACGGUUGGAUCAUUGAAAUUAGUUUCGUAGAAUGAGUAUCCCAUCAAAACAAUAGAUUCACUAAUACUUAAGAGUUUAUUCAUACUUUUAUUAAGUAUAACAUAAGAUUUUGUGGUAUCCACUAGUGUAAAUAUUUUAAAUUGAAGAUCGAAUUCAAUCAUUGUAUUCAUAUAGGGUCAAGGAGUGUAGGUGUAAAAAAUCAUCAAAAUCGGUGUUAAAAUGACCGUUAAAUCGUGAUUUUUCGUUUAUAACCGUCGAAAUAUUUUGUCCCGUUACUUGAUCUCUGAAUGUUUGUUUUUUGCAAUUUUUGGCGUAUGCGAUCUCGAAGUAUAUAUAAACAUGUUUGACGGUUGGAUCAUUGAAACUAUUUUCGUAGAAUGAGUAUCCCAUCAAAAUAAUAGAUUCACUAAUACUUAAUAGUUUAUUCAUACUUUUAUUAAGUAUAAUAUAAGAUUUUGUGGUAUCCACUAGUGUAAAUAUUUUAAAUUGAAGAUCGAAUUCAAUCAUUGUAUUCAUAUAAGGUCAAGGAGUGUAGCUGCAAAAAAUCAUCAAAAUCAGAGUUAAAAUGACCGUUAAAUCGUGAUUUUUCUUUUUUAUAACCGUCGAAAAGUUUUUGUCCCGUUAAUUGAUCUCUGAAUGUUUGUUUUUUGUAAUUUUUGACGUAUGCGAUCUCGAAGUAUAUACAAACAUGUUUGACGGUUGGAUCUUUGAAACUAGUUUCGUAGAAUGAGUAUCCCAUCAAAACAAUAGAUUCACUAAUACUUAAUAGUUUAUUCAUACUUUUAUUAAGUAUAAACAUAAGAUUUUGUGGUAUGCACUAGUGUAAAUAUUUUAAAUUGAAGAUCGAAUUCAUUACCUGUAUUCAUAUAGGGUCAAGGAGUGUAGUUGUAAAAAAGCAUCAAAAUCGGAGUUAAAAUAACCGUUAAAUCGUGAUUUUUCGUUUAUAACCGUCGAAAACUUUUGUCCCAUUACUUGAUCUCUGAAUGUUUGUUUUUUGCAAUUUUUGGCGUAUGCGAUCUCGAAGUAUAUACAAACAUGUUUGACGGUUUGAUCAUUGAAACUAGUUUUGUAGAAUGAGUAUCCCAUCAAAACAAUAGAUUCACUAAUACUUAAGAGUUUAUUCAUACUUUUAUUAAGUAUAACAUAAGAUUUUGUGGUAUCCACUAGUGUAAAUAUUUUAAAUUGAAGAUCGAAUUCAAUCAUUGUAUUCAUAUAGGGUCAAGGAGUGUGGUUGUAAAAAAUCAUCAAAAUCGGAGUUAAAAUGACCGUUAAAUCGUGAUUUUUCGUUUAUAACCAUCGAAAAGUUUUGUCCCGUUACUUGCUCUCUGAAUGUUUGUUUUUUGCAAUUUUUGGCGUAUGCGACAUGUUUGACGGUUGGAUCGUUGAAAUUAGUUUCGUAUAAUUCGUAUCCCAUGAAGUUCAAUAGUGUGUGUGUGUGUGUAUAUAUAUAUUUAUUUAUUAAGUAGAUUUAAAUCUAUUUAUUUUGUAUGUAUAAUUAUUAUAGUUUUUAGGGGUAUAAAAUUUAAUAUAUAUAUAUAUAUAUAAUUAUUAUAGUUAAUAUUUUGGGUAUAAUUAUUAUAGUAUAUAUAAUUAUUAUAAUUAUUAUAGUUAAUUUAAUAUAUAUAUAUAUAUAUAUAAUUAUUAUAGUUUUUAGGGGUAUAAAAUUGUUAAAUUAAUAUAUAUAUAUAAUUAUUAUAGUAUUUUUUUAGGGUUAUAAAUUAUUAAAUUAAUAUUCUGCUUAUCGUGUAUCGUGUUACCCACGUGUAUACCCGAACAAACCCGUUAUCUUAACAGGUGCUUAUCGGGUUACCCGAUAAUAACCCGUUUCGUUAUCGUGUCGACCCGAACACCUGUUAAUUUCGUGUCGUGUCGUGUCGGGUUAUCGGGUCGUGUCAGGAAUUGCCAGGCCUGCUUGAGACCUUGCUUAAGAAGAACAAACUUCUUAACACUUGAACCACCAAGCAUUGGUACUAAAAAAAACCUUUUGACAACACUAGAAAUGAUAAAAUUCCUACAUGAGUAAUACAUCUUCAACCUCAAAGAUGAAAAUAUUUUUAUCAUUUCCGCCAUCAACAAACCUUGAAUAUAACCAGAGACAUAGAGUAGAAUUAUCUCCCUUCUUUUAUUCACGUCCCUCUUAUUUGAACAAAAUUACAUCAAUAUUUUAUAUUAAUUUUUUGUAAAGAAAAAAAAAAGACAAAAUAAAUAAUGUAAAAAGAGAAAAUGAAGAAGGAUGGAAAGAGAAAGAAAGAAAAUCCUAAUCCUAUGACAAGUUACUCAGUAAUCAACUAGUUUGAGUUAUUCAAUCAACUCCUUAACAAACCUUGAAUAUAACAAAGUUACGCAGUAAUCAACCAGAUUGACUUAUUCAAUCCACUCAAAUCAGCGCAAGUGAUUAAGAGUUAAGAAAGGUGCUAAAUAAGGCAAAGGGAAUAUGGCAUAAAACAGGAAAUCAUAUGCCUGAGAAAAGCAAAAAGGAGGUUCCUUUCUUCAAAAGCAUUCGAUAAAGCAACCCAUCAACAAAUAGCACCUCAAAUCAAAGGGAAUAAGAGAAUCUCACAUCUCAUCAUACACACAUACCAAACGGAAGUAAUGCCAGAAACAAGGGGUUUCAUAAAUGGAUUCCAACAAGAUCAAUAAACCUAAAACUUGAACAUCAUCAUCACAUAAGAUUAUUGGAAUUUCAAGUCUUGGUAUCUCUUUUCCCUACAACCAACAAAGACAUAGACCUGCAUACAGAUUACAUACAAAUGGGGAGGGUCACGAACUAAAUCUAAACAUGGAGGUUUGAUUCAUAAAAAGCUAAACAUUUGGUGGGUUGAUUUGAUGGAGAAACCUAAGCCUUCUUGGGAGACUUGG
rnacentral:lncRNA from 1 species